AACGAACGCUGGCGGCAUGCCUAACACAUGCAAGUCGAACGAGACCUUCGGGUCUAGUGGCGCACGGGUGCGUAACGCGUGGGAACCUGCCCUUAGGUUCGGAAUAACUCCCCGAAAGGGGUGCUAAUACCGGAUAAUGUCUUCGGACUAAAGAUUUAUCGCCUUUGGAUGGGCCCGCGUUGGAUUAGCUAGUUGGUAGGGUAAAAGCCUACCAAGGCGACGAUCCAUAGCUGGUCUGAGAGGAUGAUCAGCCACUCUGGGACUGAGACACGGCCCAGACUCCUACGGGAGGCAGCAGUGGGGAAUAUUGGACAAUGGGCGAAAGCCUGAUCCAGCAAUGCCGCGUGAGUGAUGAAGGCCUUAGGGUUGUAAAGCUCUUUUACCCGGGAUGAUAAUGACAGUACCGGGAGAAUAAGCUCCGGCUAACUCCGUG
rnacentral:rRNA from 1 species